AACCACCAACUCCCUCAUUCUCUUCAAACUAAUCUGGUAAUCCAUCUUAAUCUUCUCAGGUUUAUGAGAAAUGAGAUCUUGCCACCCAAAUUACUGAGGACUACAGAAAUCACUAAUGAAGGAGAAGGACUUGAGUCUAGAAAUUUCUUAGUCCAAAGCCUAUUGUGGGCAACAAGGAAAAAACUUAUUUAAGAAAGGAGAAUGAGUUUGUUCCUAAGGUAAGAAAACCAAUACGCCCAGUUAUUGAGAGCCAAGAAAGGCAGAGAUGGAGGAAAUUAGAUAAUGAGCUAAUAUUCAUCCCUAAUUUACAUUUGCUUUCAUGCAUAGAUUUGUCUGUCUUUCCAUUCUGUCCUAUGGGACUCCAUUCUACUAAGUGCAGACUUUAUACUUUCUCAAAACAUUUUCUCAGCUCUAGUUUUAUUAAAAAUCUGCUUAUAAGGGUGCCUAGGUGGUGCAGAGGUUAAGUGUCCAACUCUUGGUGUCAGCUCAGGUCGUGAUCUCAGGGUCAUUAGAUAGAGCCCCACAUUGGCCUCCACAUUCAGUGCAGAGUCUGCUUAAGACUCUUUCUCCUUUUCCCUCUGCCUCUCCCCACCCUAUGCUCGCACACACACUCUCUCUCUCAAAUAAAUAAAUACAUAUAUUUUUUUAAAAUGUGCUUAUUUAAUGAUAACACAGUGCUAUCCUGUACCAUUUUCUAUGUAAUGUUCACUUCACUGACACACUUAGACAUUAGCAAAGGAGCCCCAACUUACGCACUAAAUAUUAGAGGAACCCAUUGAACUUUCUUUCAUCUGUCCUUUCAGUGGGUUGAGAUAUCUCUGGGGCCAAGUGAUAUACUUGUGCCUUCCCUCUCAGAGCACACUCAGGUCCCAAGGAAAACAGAACUUCAUGUUCCCUGCAGAGACCACUUCCUCUGGCCAUACUCCAAAAGUGCCUACCAUACUGCUAGUGUGUACAACUCUAGGCCCAAGGGGAUGGCCAGGAAGUGGUUGUAUGUGGAGAGUGAGGGCAAAGACUACAAAAGUGGGCUAAGAAUAGGAAGAGAAAAAGAGGUGUACACCAGAAGCCAGCAUGAAACUCCAAGGAAUUCCAGAAUUAUAAUUGCAACUGGGACAAAAGAUGUGUACUCCCUAUGGACAGAAACCAGGCAGCCUGUUUCUGAGUGCCUUUUAUCAGUUCUGACACAUCAUUGCUCCCGUUUCUUCAAAGUGGCUUGAAAGACUGAAGUUACCAAGAGCAGAGAAUGAGGCACGUAGAAAACGUUGCCAUAACAUCACACUGUCUGUUUACUGGAAAGACGGCAUGAUUAAACACAUUAUAGAGUUAUAACUUGCCUGCUGUGUUAAUUUCUUGUGGCUGCCACAAAAAGUUAGCACAACCUUGGUAACUUAAAACAAUAGAAAUUUAUUUUCUCACAGUUCUAGAGGUCAGAAGUUCAAAAUCACGGUGUGGGCAUGUUCUGUGGAAGUUCUCCCAAAGACGUGGGGUGAAUCCUUUCCUUCAGUCUUCUAGCUUCUGGUGGCUACCAGCAUUCCUUGGAAUUCUUUGGCUUAUGGUUACAUUUCUCCAAUUGCUUCUUUGGUCUUCACAUCAUCUUCUCUGUAUGGCAAGUCUUCCCAUUCCUCUCUUUUAUACGGAUACAUGUGAUGGCAUUUAGAGCCUAUCCAUAUAAUCUAAAAUAAUCUCCCACACUAGGGAUGGAGAGGACACAGGUAAGGGGAAGAGAUACAUCUGCUUUUUCAAGCAAUAUAUUCUCCAUGCUCAAAUAGAAUGGCUUUUCAAACUUUCUAGAUUUCCGUGUCCAAGGAAAUCUUAGCCUUCAAUGUUUCAGCUCUCCCAUAAAUGUGCUUACUACAAUCCUGUCCCUAGAUUACUCAAAUUAACCUCACUUUUCACCGUUUUAUGCUUACUUGAAAAUAAUUGCUUGGUGAUUUUGACAACUAUAAAUUAGUAUUUACCAAAAUAUAUAAUGCAAUGAUAUAAAUACCUACUAUCUCAAAAGCAAAUGUGGCAUAAUAAAUACAUCUCCACAGAAAGGAGAGUGGAAACU
rnacentral:lncRNA from 12 species